rnacentral:lncRNA from 1 species
CUUCAAUACCUUUUAUUUAGUCUUCUUUUAUCCUUUAAGCAAUAAAUUGUACAUCCUAUCAGUGUUUGGAAUUAUAGAAUAGGUUAGUUAUCACAAAUACAUUACUGAAACAAAUCUUGUAACACCUUCACAGAUGAAGCGAACUAACAAGGAGAGUGGUGUAGCAUUACGAAGAAAGAGAAAAACGAAAGAAGAACAAGAAAGGCAGAAUGAAGGAGCCAUACUUAAAUUUCUCAGCCCAGUUCAUGCAGACGAAACUAAUAAUACUGCAGAAGUUCGUUGAAAUGAUAUUGUUGAAGUUCAUGGAGAAGAUCAUGAUGAUGUUGGUGAAGUGCGUCUUGAAAUGAAGAUUGAAUAUGAUCAUGAUGUUGAUGAAGCUGAUCCACCACAAAUUACUGAAGAACAAAACUCUAAUAUUAAUUUGAAAGAUAUUGGGAUGUGGCCUGCAAUGUUUAAUUACAAUAUUCGGGAAAUGCUUAAACAACAAGGAUCGAAGGCUGUGAAAAA